rnacentral:rRNA from 1 species
AUGUUGCUAUUGUGGUGCUUAUCAAUGAUCCAAGUUUUCUCCAUAUCCUUCUCGGUGAAAGAAUUUUUUUUUCAUCUCUUCGUUGAUCUCAAACAAGCAAUUGUUUCUGUUAGUGGCAAAAUUUCACUUCAAGCGUUGAGAUGUUUCCAUAAGCCCACUACAAGCUUGUGCUUUUCGUUGUUGAUUUUCCAACAACUCCAUUCAAUCCUUUCCUUGCAAGGAUGCAUUCCAAGUUCAUUUGUGGCAGAAAUUGUCAUUUUCUUAUCCGCCCCUUUAUCCCAACAAUCUAGCUUCUAUUCUUUCGUUCCGAAGGCAUUGUGA